rnacentral:rRNA from 1 species
UUCGGGACGCCGGCGAGUGGCGAACGGGUGAGUAACACGUGGAGACCUGCCCUGGGGUGGGGGAUAACAACUGGAAACGGUUGCUAAUACCGCAUACGCCUUACGAGGGAAAGAUUUAUUGCCCCAGGAGGGUUCCGCGUCGGAUUAGCUUGUUGGUGGGGUAACGGCCUACCAAGGCGACGAUCCGUAGCUGGUCUUAGAGGAUGAUCAGCCACACUGGGACUGAGACACGGCCCAGACUCCUACGGGAGGCAGCAGUGGGGAAUAUUGCGCAAUGGGGGAAACCCUGACGCAGCGAUGCCGCGUGGGUGAAUAAGGCCUUAGGGUUGUAAAGCCCUUUCAGUGGGAAAGAUGAUGACGGUACCCACAGAAGAAGCCCCGGCUAACUCCGUGCCAGCAGCCGCGGUAAUACGGAGGGGGCGAGCGUUGUUCGGAAUUAUUGGGCGUAAAGCGCGCGUAGGCGGUUUAUCAAG